rnacentral:lncRNA from 1 species
GAAGAGGCCAAGAGGAAGACCGAGAAAGAAUUUUAUAAGUGAUGAACCAACAAGUGAUGAACCAACAAGUGAUCAACCAACAAAUUCAAAGCCGAGAGGAAGACCAAAAGGGAGCACUUCAAACCAAAAUACACUUGUUGACAUUAGAGAGCAAAGAUUGUCAAGACAAGGCUUCGGUUUGUUGGUGGCUGAUUCUGGAAAUGUGUAUAUGAGAGUAUGUAUUAUAUCUACUAGUUAUGCAUAAAAUGCUUUGUGUUGAUGAAAUCUUUCCACUAAUAUCUUUUUUUCUUUUAAUGUUAAAAGAAUCCAGGUGGGGGAAGAGUGCAAAUUAUUCAUCAAGUUGGAUCCAAUCAAAAUUCACAAGUUAUUGAUGGCCCGACACCUCUUUAAAUUAGAUGUAUAUGUUUACCUUUGACUUUUGUCAUGAUCCUAAACUUUGGGGAUGUUAUUAGUGUUUUUGUCAUGAUCCUAAACUUUGGGGAUGUUAUUAGUGUUUUUGUCAUGAUCCUAAACUUUGGGGAUGUUAUUAGUGUUUUUGGGUGAUCCUAAACUUUGGGGAUGUUAUUAGUAUUUUUGGGUGACAUAUCUAAACAGCUUGAGAUGUACUUUUGGCCAUAACUUUUUUAUCAUGAUGUCUCAUUAUGUUCGUGUCUGACAUCUGCCUAGCAUUUU